rnacentral:rRNA from 1 species
AUUGAACGCUAGCGGGAUGCCUUACACAUGCAAGUCGAACGCGUGGCGGACGGGUGCAUAGUAUAGCGAAACGUGCGCAGGAGCGGGGGAAAACUACUCGAAAGAGUGGCUAAUACCACAUACUCUGGGAACGGCCGAUAUGGGAUUAGCUAGGUGGUGGGGUAAAGGCUCACCAAGGCGACGAUCCGUAGCUGGUUUGAGAGGACGACCAGCCACACUGGGACUGAGACACGGCCCAGACUCCUACGGGAGGCAGCAGUGGGGAAUUUUGGACAAUGGGGGAAACCCUGAUGCAGCCAUGCCGCGUGUAUGAGAAGGCCUUCGGGUUGUAAAGUACUUUUGGCCGGGAGGCGUUACCUGCAGAAGAAGCACCGGCUAACUCCGUGCCAGCAGCCGCGGUAAUUC